GACGAACGCUGGCGGCGUGCUUAACACAUGCAAGUCGAGCGAUGAGAUCACUUCGGUGAAGGAUUAGCGGCGAACGGGUGAGGAACACGUGAAGAAUCUGCCUUCAACUCUGGGAUAACUCCGGGAAACCGGGGCUAAUACCGGAUAUGAGCCUUGAUCGCAUGAUCGGGGCUGGAAAGUUUUUCGGUUGAAGAUGACUUCGCGGCCUAUCAGCUUGUUGGUGAGGUAAUGGCUCACCAAGGCGACGACGGGUAGCCGGCCUGAGAGGGCGACCGGCCACACUGGGACUGAGACACGGCCCAGACUCCUACGGGAGGCAGCAGUGGGGAAUAUUGGGCAAUGGACGAAAGUCUGACCCAGCGACGCCGCGUGCGGGAUGAAGGCCUUCGGGCUGUAACCGCUUUCAGCAGGGAAUAAGCGAAAGUGACGGUACCUGCAGAAGAAGCACCGGCUAACUAUGUGCCAGCAG
rnacentral:rRNA from 1 species